UACAGAGGUGGCAAGCGUUGUUCGGAAUUACUGGGCGUAAAGCGCGUGUAGGCGGCUCUUCAAGUCAGGCGUGAAAGCCCCGGGCUCAACUCGGGAACUGCGCUUGAUACUGUCGGGCUAGAGUGCGGAAGAGGCGAGUGGAAUUCCUGGUGUAGCGGUGAAAUGCGCAGAUAUCAGGAGGAACACCAAUUGCGAAGGCAGCUCGCUGGGACGUUACUGACGCUGAGACGCGAAAGCGUGGGGAGCAAACAGG
rnacentral:rRNA from 1 species